rnacentral:tRNA from 1 species
GGGGCCAUAGCUCAAUUGGUUAGAGCAUCUGACUCAUAAUCAGAGGGUUCAUGGUUCAAGUCCAUGUGGCCCCA